CGGCCAGACUCCUACGGGAGGCAGCAGUGGGGAAUAUUGCACAAUGGGGGAAACCCUGAUGCAGCGACGCCGCGUGAGUGAAGAAGUAUUUCGGUAUGUAAAGCUCUAUCAGCAGGGAAGAAGUUGACGGUACCUGAGUAAGAAGCCCCGGCUAACUACGUGCCAGCAGCCGCGGUAAUACGUAGGGGGCAAGCGUUAUCCGGAUUUACUGGGUGUAAAGGGAGCGUAGACGGCAGUGCAAGUCUGAAGUGAAAGCCCCGGGCUUAACCCGGGAACUGCUUUGGAAACUGUACGGCUGGAGUGCUGGAGAGGUAAGCGGAAUUCCUAGUGUAGCGGUGAAAUGCGUAGAUAUUAGGAGGAACACCAGUGGCGAAGGCGGCUUACUGGACAGUAACUGACGUUGAGGCUCGAAAGCGUGGGGAGCAAACAGGAUUAGAUACCCCGGUAC
rnacentral:rRNA from 1 species